rnacentral:rRNA from 1 species
UGGGGAAUAUUGCGCAAUGGGGGAAACCCUGACGCAGCGACGCCGCGUUCGGGAUGAAGGCCUUGGGGUUGUAAACCGCUUUUGAUAGGGAGCAAGCUUUCGGGUGAGUGUACCUUUCGAAUAAGCGCCGGCUAACUACGUGCCAGCAGCCGCGGUAAUACGUAGGGCGCAAGCGUUAUCCGGAAUUAUUGGGCGUAAAGAGCUUGUAGGCGGUUCGUCGCGUCUGGUGUGAAAGCCCAUCGCUUAACGGUGGGUUUGCGCCGGGUACGGGCGGGCUAGAGUGCAGUAGGGGAGACUGGAAGUCCCGGUGUAACGGUGGAAUGUGUAGAUAUCGGGAAGAACACCAAUGGCGAAGGCAGGUCUCUGGGCUGUUACUGACGCUGAGAAGCGAAAGCGUGGGGAGCGAACAGG